rnacentral:rRNA from 1 species
UGCGGAAGGAUCAUGG